rnacentral:rRNA from 1 species
GACGAACGCUGGCGGCGUGCCUAACACAUGCAAGUCGAACGAAGCACUGUAAACGGAGAUUCGUCAAAGUUUGCUUUGACUUAGUGGCGGACGGGUGAGUAAUGUAUGAGCAACCUGCCUUUCAGUGGGGGACAACAGUUGGAAACGACUGCUAAUACCGCAUGAUGUCAAUUGGGGGCAUCCCCGAAUGACCAAAGGAUUUAUUCGCUGAAAGAUGGGCUCAUAUCUGAUUAGCUAGUUGGUGAGGUAACGGCUCACCAAGGCUGCGAUCAGUAGCCGGACUGAGAGGUUGAACGGCCACAUUGGGACUGAGACACGGCCCAGACUCCUACGGGAGGCAGCAGUGGGGGAAUAUUGCACAAUGGGGGGAAACCCUGAUGCAGCGACGCCGCGUGAGUGAAGAAGUAUUUCGGUAUGUAAAGCUCUAUCAGCAGGAAAGAAAAUGAACGGUACCUGACUAAGAAGCCCCGGCUAACUACGUGCCAG